rnacentral:rRNA from 1 species
UACGUAGGGUGCAAGCGUUGUCCGGAAUUAUUGGGCGUAAAGAGCUCGUAGGCGGUCUGUCGCGUCGGCUGUGAAAACUCGGGGCUCAACUCCGAGCUUGCAGUCGAUACGGGCGGGCUAGAGUUCGGCAGGGGAGACUGGAAUUCCUGGUGUAGCGGUGAAAUGCGCAGAUAUCAGGAGGAACACCGGUGGCGAAGGCGGGUCUCUGGGCCGAUACUGACGCUGAGGAGCGAAAGCGUGGGGGGCGAACAGG